AUUUAGAAGCCUGCUUAGCUUCAGCUCUCUCUUCUAAACAUUUCCAUGGAAACCAAGGAAGUUCUUGUCCACUAUAUUCAAGAAUUUUAUGAAGUAACAUUGUUAAACUCUCAAAAAAGCUGUGAACAGAAAAUACAAGAAGCAAAUCAAGUUGCAGAGAAAUUAGAAAAGAAAACAUUUCUUGUGUCAACCCAUGAAAGUCUUCAAAAAGCUUCAGCAGAGCUAACAGGUUUCAGUGGAUCAGAGGGAAAUGCUUUAUGUGAUGAACAAAAUAAAGAGAACCAGUGUUUGGAAAAUCAGACUGAUGACAAGAAGAUAAAGGUAAGAAUUGAGGCAUUUUGUUUGUUUCCAUUGUUACUGAGUCAGGUUUUUUUUUCUUUGCUGUCUCUUGUGAUGUUUUUGGGAAAUAUUUAUUUUUCAAAAUUUUCAGUUUCAUUUUUCAUAAUAGAGUAACUUUACAUGUUUGGGGAAAGACAUUUUGCUGUGAUAAGGUCAAGAAGAGCAGGAAUGUAUGAUUUACUUCACGUCUUUGACUGGGUUGGAACACUACCUUCUUCAUGAUCCUGAACGUGUCUUAUCGUGAGUGAUGGAUUUUUCCCAUUUGGGGCUUUGUGUUUGAGUGAGUGGGAAGCUUUGUUUCUACAUUUUACUUGUUAAAUGAUUGAUAUUUUAAACUAAACACAACUUCACAGGUUUCAUGCAGUCUUAUCCAGCCUUCACCCUCAGCCCACACUUUGGACUAUGUUCCAUUCCUCCAUGACCCUCUGAAUCCUGUAAGAGGCCAUUUGGGUAGUCGCCACCCAUUUUGGUUUAGGUAGGGCAUAUGCAAAUGAUCUUGAAAUGGCCAUGAAAAGAUCAGAUUUUAUGGGAUAUUUGCUGUAAAUGUUUAUAGAAUACUUUCUAUAGAUUUAGG
rnacentral:lncRNA from 1 species